rnacentral:rRNA from 1 species
CGUGGAGACAGGUGGUGCAUGGCUGUCGUCAGCUCGUGUCGUGAGAUGUUGGGUUAAGUCCCGCAACGAGCGCAACCCUCACCCCUUGUUGCCAUCAGGUCACGCUGGGCACUCUAGGGGAACUGCCCCGGUCAACGGGGAGGAAGGUGGGGACGACGUCAAGUCAUCAUGCCCCUUACGUCCUGGGCUACACACGUGCUACAAUGGCCGGUACAAAGGGAUGCAAGACCGUGAGGUGGAGCUAAACCCAAAAAGCCGGUCUAAGUUCAGAUUGGAGUCUGCAGCUCGACUCCAUGAAGGAGGAAUCGCUAGUAAUCGCGCAUCAGCACGGCGCGGUGAAUACGUUCCUGGGCCUUGUACACACCGCCCGUCACACCACGAAAGCCAGCUGUACUCGAAGUCGCUGAG